AGCAUAAAAGGAACACGGCGAUCGCACUCAUAGAUCGCGCGAUCAAACUCACUGAUGCCGCAGAUAGACCAAAAGCAAUAACAUUAGUGAGGAAUAUUCUGCAAAAAAAUCACUACCCGUUUUGGUUUGUUAACAGGUUGAUAAAGAGUAGGACCGACCAACACUACAACAGCUUACGGAAAGAAGCCGAAAAGAAGGAAACAAAAUACGUUUCAGCUCCCUAUACACCAUGCCUAAGCGAAAAACUGUCGAAGAUCCUCGUCAAGCAUAACAUUACACUAGCACAUCAACCACGAAACAAAAUAAAGAACACAGUUUUCAGCAAACUGAAGGAUACAAUCCCAAAACAGAAAACGAAACAUGUAGUGUAUGCAGUACCAUGCGGCACGGACGAUGGAAAAAUAUACGUUGGACAAACGGGAAGAAUGCUGGAGACAAGAAUUAAUGAACACCGGAACAACAUGAGGAAGAAGGAAGCAAAAACAGGUUUAACGCAACAUCAUCUAGAGGAAGGACAUAACUUCAAUUUCGACAAAACGGAAAUUCUGGAAAGGAUCGAGAACCAGGCAAGCAGAACCAUAGCAGAGGCCUUCCACAUCAAGCUACUAGGUGACGACAGAGUAGUCAAUAUGCAGCGUGAGUGUGGAGGUAUAGACUCUACAUACAACGGUCUAGUGGGUAAAAUCCGAUCGCUACCAACACCAAGAUGGAUGACGUACAGUGACCAAUGCGAAGAAUGUUAGAUGUAUAGCAGGAAAGGGGGUUAGUAAUAAAACCACACUGGUGGUGAACGAUCGAUUUGAACAAAUCUGAUGAUGGCUGAAAAUCAGUAAGCCGAAACGUUAUAAUCGUGUUUCAGUGUGUAGUAAUCACCGAAAAAUAUCAACAAUCUUCAAAUAUAACAAUCGACGGUGACUUAAACCCUAUAGAAGGAUUACUAUGAACAGUUUAUUAUUCAAAAAUAUAUAUAUACGUUAUAGAAAGGAUAUUGGUAAGAACAAGGAUAGUGGAAUAACUAAAUUAUAAAUUGCAGGAAUAAUUCCAAUUUACGGUACAGAAGGAUCACAAUGCAAUGGAAAUUAAUGCGCCUCCGAUGGGCUUGAGAUUUAUUUUAUUGACGUUUUUGACUUUCUAGACAUAAUGGAUGCUAUUUUUGAUACUAGUUACUUGGAUGCAGUACAUAUGAAAGAAGCACAAUCUUAUAGCAAAAUUAUGUUUGGCGGAAAAAAGGGAGAGGUAGCUGGUACAUGUGCAUCUUAUGAUAGUCGAGAGUAUAAAAAUAAUAAUAAUUAAAUAAAUGGUCACAAUCAUUUGAAUAUUCUAGAGGUGAAUAUUUACUGAUUCGAAGAACUUCACGGAGCCUAACGUCUAAUGAUGAACAAAUAUGUACUGAAACUUCAAUAAGGUACCGUGGGGCAAGUGGGUAAUGGAUUUUGCAUAGUUGGGAUUCUUCAAAUUCCAGAGACCUUAAAUUGAAACAUAUGAGGUCGUGUAUAUUUUUUAGCUUGACUCCCACCAAAUAUAAACAGUAUACUGAAA